rnacentral:ncRNA from 1 species
AUGAGUAACUAAAAAGAGUUUAUACUCUCGCCUUAAGCUUAUGGCUAAGUAAAGUAACGGCCUCUAAGUUUUUAACCUGAAGGUUAAAAUGAUGAGAAAAUCUUUUUCUUUUAUUAAAAGACAACAUUUUUAAGUGAAAAGUGUGCAGGAAAUAUUUUAAUAAGAAAACAUGAGUGUGGACUAAAUAAACUGAAAUAGAUGAAUAAAACACAAGUGUUUUAACCGUACCUAGAAACUGCAACAAGUAAGCUAGUAGAGGAUACGAAGGCGUAAAUGAGAUAACAAUCAUAAAGGAACUCGGCAAAAUAACUACCGUAACUUAGGGAUAAGGAGGGCUCAUUAUUCUUGAUUAAUAUCAAGUAAAAAGGAAGAAGCAUGAAAUAGUGUUGUACGACUGUUUAAUUAAAACAAAGCACUUUGCAAAAAGAUGAUAAAUCUAAGUAUUGAGUGUGAAAUCUGCCCGAUGUCGGCUGGUUAACGAAGAUAACUAAAUUUUUAAAGGUUUGGUGUUGCAGGAAACCCCGAUUAAUGGCGGCCUUAACGUGAGGGUCCUAAGGUAGCGAAAUGCCUUGGCCGUUAAAUGCGGUCUUGCAUGAAUGGUGUAACGAUACAACAGCUGUCUCUAUGAUUGACUCAGUGAAAUU